AUAACGGUCCUAAGGUAGCGAAAUUCCUUGUCAGGUAAGUUCUGACCCGCACGAAAGGCGUAACGAUUUGGGCGCUGUCUCAGCUGUAGACUCGGUGAAGUCUUAGUACCUGUGAAGAUGCAGGUUACCCGCGACUAGACGGAAAGACCCCAUGGAGCUUUACUGUAGCUUGAUAUUGGACUUUGAUGCAAGAUGUACAGGAUAGGUAGGAGACUGAGAGACAUGCACGCCAGUGUGUGAGGAGUCAAUGUUGGGAUACUACUCUUCUUGUAUUGGAGUUCUAACCGGAUGCCAUGGAACUGGCAACGGGACAGUGUCAGGUGGGCAGUUUGACUGGGGCGGUCGCCUCCCAAAGAGUAACGGAGGCGCCCAAAGAUACCCUCAGCUUGGAUGGAAAUCAAGCGCAGAGUGCAAAGGCAUAAGGGUGUUUGACUGCGAGACCUACAAGUCGAGCAGGGACGAAAGUCGGGCUUAGUGAUCCGGCGGUGCUGAAUGGAAAGGCCGUCGCUCAACGGAUAAAAGCUACCCUGGGGAUAACAGGCUGAUCUCCCCCAAGAGUUCACAUCGACGGGGAGGUUUGGCACCUCGAUGUCGGCUCAUCGCAUCCUGGGGCUGAAGUAGGUCCCAAGGGUUGGGCUGUUCGCCCAUUAAAGCGGUACGCGAGCUGGGUUCAGAACGUCGUGAGACAGUUCGGUCCCUAUCUGUCGUGGGCGUAGGAAGUUUGAGAAGAUCUGUCCUCAGUACGAGAGGACCGGGAUGGACAUAUCAAUGGUGCACCAGUUGUCACGCCAGUGGCACAGCUGGGUAGCUAAAUAUGGAAGGGAUAAACGCUGAAGGCAUCUAAGUGUGAAACCCACUUCAAGAUGAGACUUCCCAUUACGCAAGUAAGUAAGACCCCUUAAAGACGAUAAGGUUGAUAGGUCAGGAGUGUAAGCAUGGCGACAUGUUCAGCGGACUGAUACUAAUAGGUCGAGGACUUAACCUA
rnacentral:rRNA from 1 species